GACGAACGCUGGCGGCGUGCCUAAUACAUGCAAGUAGAACGCACAGUUUAUACCGUAGCUUGCUACACCAUAGACUGUGAGUUGCGAACGGGUGAGUAACGCGUAGGUAACCUGCCUGGUAGCGGGGGAUAACUAUUGGAAACGAUAGCUAAUACCGCAUAAUAUUAAUUAUUGCAUGAUAAUUAAUUGAAAGGUGCAAUUGCACCACUACCAGAUGGACCUGCGUUGUAUUAGCUAGUAGGUGAGGUAACGGCUCACCUAGGCGACGAUACAUAGCCGACCUGAGGGGGUGAUCGGCCCAACUGGGACUGGAACACGCCCCAGACUCCUACGGGAGGCAGCAGUAGGGAAUCUUCGGAAAUGGGCGAAAUUCUGCCCGAGCAACGCCGGGUGGGUGAAGAAGGUGUUCGGAUCGUAAAGCUCUUUUGUAAGGGAAGAAGGGGUGGGGGAGGGGAAAGUUCACCCUGGAAGGGUUUUUUACCAAAAAGGGAGGGCUAACUACGU
rnacentral:rRNA from 1 species